rnacentral:rRNA from 1 species
UACGUAGGGGGCAAGCGUUGUCCGGAUUUAUUGGGCGUAAAGAGCGUGUAGGCGGCCAUACAGGUCAGCUGUGAAAACUCGAGGCUCAACCUCGAGACGUCGGUUGAAACCGUAUGGCUAGAGUCCGGAAGAGGAGAGUGGAAUUCCCGGUGUAGCGGUGAAAUGCGCAGAUAUCGGGAGGAACACCAAUUGCGAAGGCAGCUCGCUGGGACGUUACUGACGCUGAGACGCGAAAGCGUGGGGAGCAAACAGG